AGAGCGAACGCUGGCGGCAGGCCUAACACAUGCAAGUCGAGCGCCGUAGCAAUACGGAGCGGCAGACGGGAGAGUAACACGUGGGAACGUACCCUUUGGUUCGGAACAACCCAGGGAAACUUGGGCUAAUACCGAAUAAGCCCUUACGGGGAAAGAUUUAUCGCCGAAGGAUCGGCCCGCGUCUGAUUAGCUAGUUGGUGGGGUAACGGCCCACCAAGGCGACGAUCAGUAGCUGGUCUGAGAGGAUGAUCAGCCUCAUUGGGACUGAGACACGGCCCAAACUCCUACGGGAGGCAGCAGUGGGGAAUAUUGGACAAUGGGCGCAAGCCUGAUCCAGCCAUGCCGCGUGGGUGAUGAAGGCCCUAGGGUUGUAAAGCCCUUUGGCGGGGAAGAUAAUGACGGUACCCGCAGAAGAAGCCCCGGCUAACUUCGUGCCAGCAGCCGC
rnacentral:rRNA from 1 species